ACUUCGGAUCCUGCUCUUCUCAGCUCUGCAGCAUCAGGCUCCCCGAAAGACCUUUCCCGGCUCCCGCAAAGCACGGUGCUUCCUGACCCCCCAGAUAACGUGGGGAAACACCACACCUGCUCUCGCAUUCCCAUCCUUGAGGUUAUGGGGUGGGGCAGGAUGAGUGGGGGGUCUUGGUCCUGCACUGCAGGCAGACUGGGGAUUCCAGAAGGGAGACCAGAUGGAUGGGUAAGGAUCAUAGGGCCCUCCACACUAAUAAAGAAUGGACUGGUUU
rnacentral:lncRNA from 1 species